CCUGCCCCUAGAGGUGUGGCAGGUGUGGCUGACAUCUCACAUGGGCAUCAAAGGUGUCAGAGAGGAGAGAGGCUAUAUUUACUCUCAGUGUUCUGACUUAGGAACAUCUGAAUGAUUUGUAGCCUAACAUU
ensembl:snoRNA small nucleolar RNA SNORA17